rnacentral:misc_RNA from 1 species
GUGAAUCAUCAAAUCUUUGAACGCAAAUUGCACUCUCCUCGGAGAGUAUGCCUGUUUGGGGGUCAGCCUAUAGAAAAUAGACAUCGUUGCUGUUUGGCGGUGGCGUUCGUCGGAAAGUCGGUCAUCUUAAAUUUUUUGGAUUUAAGAGACUUAAAAUUAUCUUUUUGGUUCCAUGAACGUUUCUAAGAUUUAUUUCUUUACACGUUUAAGGUAUCGAUUUUUAUUAGACGUGGCCAUCAUAUCUGAUCUCGCCGAUAAUCUUUCAUUAACUGA